rnacentral:tRNA from 1 species
UUAACAGCGGUGUUGGGGCACGAAGAAUUUUGAUUUCUUAGGCGAGGGUUAUUAUGCCCCCUUGUUAAA